CAGCCGCCGCGGUAACACGUAGGGUGCGAGCGUUAAUCGGAAUUACUGGGCGUAAAGCGUGCGCAGGCGGUUGUGUAAGACAGGUGUGAAAUCCCCGGGCUUAACCUGGGAACUGCGCUUGUGACUGCACAGCUAGAGUAUGGCAGAGGGGGGUGGAAUUCCACGUGUAGCAGUGAAAUGCGUAGAGAUGUGGAGGAACACCGAUGGCGAAGGCAGCCCCCUGGGCCAAUACUGACGCUCAUGCACGAAAGCGUGGGGAGCAAACAGGAUUAGAUACCCGCGUAGUCCCUGUCUCUUAUAC
rnacentral:rRNA from 1 species